rnacentral:rRNA from 1 species
AGAAUGAACGCUAGCGAUAUGCUUAACACAUGCAAGUUGAACGUUGUUUUCGAAUCAGAAUGAGAACAAAGUAGCGAACGGGUGCGUAACACGUGGGAAUCUGCCGAACAGUUUGGGCCAAAUCCCGAAUGAAUAAAAGCUAAAAAGCGCUGUUUGAUGAGCCCACGUAGUAUUAGGUAGUUGGUUAGGUAAAAGCUGACCAAGCCUACGAUGCUUAGCUGGUCUUUUCGGAUGAUCAGCCACACUGGGACUGAGACACGGCCCAGACUCCUACGGGAGGCAGCAGUGGGGAAUCUUGGACAAUGGGCGAAAGCCUGAUCCGGCAAUAUGGCGUGAGUGAAGAAGGGCAACGCAGCUUGUAAAGCUCUUUCAUCGAGUGUGCGAUUGUGACAAGACUCGAAUAAGAACGCCCCGGCUAACCUCCGCGCCAGCCAGCCGC